CACACACACAGGUAAGACAACCCUCCAGGUCUUUACCAGAUGAUUAAAUUAUUCAGUGUGUCAGGAUCUGACCUACACACACACACCAUCCCUCCUCUCUCUCGUAGGUAAUGAUACUGGGUGUGUAUCCGAUCAGGGUGAUUCUCAGAACUGUAAUGUGACAAACGACCCAGCCAUGUGCACAGUCAUAGAGAUAGCGGAAGAAGGUGAAGGGGACUCAGAUGAGUCUCCUCCAGAGCCAUCAGAGUUCUCCCAGGCCAGCUUUGACAUGUCCAGUUUCAUAGGAGGCAUCAUCCUGGUGCUGUGUGUACAGGCUGGGGGAUUCUUCGCCAUGCGCUUCCUCAAGAAAGAUACCACCUACGACCCCAUAGAGCAGCCAGCCUAGAGGAGAGGAGAGAGAGAAGAGGAGGACAGUGAAAGAUGAAGGAGGGAGGGAUGAGUGGGAGCUGUGACUCACCAUGCUGUCACAAUGCUUUGCAUGACGUCAAUCUACCAUACUCCAGUGCGUGUGUUAUACUUUUUUGUGUGUCCCAGAUGUGCACCUGUCGGUCAUUUUGUUUGUUUGACUGACCGUCCAUUAUGUUGUGUAACUCCUGUUUGUGUGUGUGUGUGUGUGUGUGUGCCCAUGUGUGCGUGUGCCCAUGUGUGUGUGUGCCCAUGUGUGUGUGUGCCCAUGUGUGUGUGUGUGUGUGUGUGUGUGUGUGUGUGUGUAUUCCCUUUUUCCUGUCAGUUGGCCUAAAUGCCUCCUGAAUUUACAGUUGGCAAAUAGUAUUGUCUUAGAAGGUUGUAGUUAUGUGAAUGUGUAAUGAUUUUCAAUCUUGUUAAAACAUGUUUGUUAAUUUGUGUUGUUGAACUGGUUUGGCUUGAGCUGCGUUCAGGAGGGAGGGAUCUGGGAUCUGUU